UACAGAGGGGGCAAGCGUUGUUCGGAAUUACUGGGCGUAAAGGGCGCGUAGGCGGCCUUCUAAGUCGAACGUGAAAUCCCCGGGCUCAACCCGGGAACUGCGUCCGAUACUGGAAGGCUUGAAUCCGGGAGAGGGAUGUGGAAUUCCAGGUGUAGCGGUGAAAUGCGUAGAUAUCUGGAGGAACACCGGUGGCGAAGGCGGCAUCCUGGACCAACACUGACGCUGAGGAGCGAAAGCCAGGGGAGCAAAGCGGG
rnacentral:rRNA from 1 species